UAUAUAUAUAUAUAUUUAUAAUUUAUAUGAAUGUUGAUUUAGAUUUAUAUUUAAGUAGUGUAUAAUUUUAAUUAUUAAAAAAAUUUAGAAUUAGUGAUUUAUUUAAAUAUUUGUAAAUUUUGUGCCAGCAACAGCGGUUAUACAAAUAAUAUAAUAUAUAUUUAUUAGUUUUAAUUAAUAGAAUAAUUUAUAAAAUUAUAAUUUAAAUUUUAAGGUGAAAUUUUAAUUUGAAAUUAAUUUUAUUUAUUUUUUAUGAAGUUAGGAAAUUUUUAUUUAAACUAGGAUUAGAUACCCUAUUAUUUAAAAUGUUAAUUAUAAAGCUAAGUGAUUAAUAGCUAAGUUCUUUAAAGCUAAAUAAUUUGGCGGUAUUUUAAACUUUUCAGAGGAACCUGUUCAAUAAUUGAUAAUCCACGAUUGAAUUAACUUAAAUUAGAAGUUUUUAUAUCGUCGUUAUUAAAUAUUUUAUUAGAAUUUAAUAUUUAAGAUUUCUUUAUAAAGAAUAAAAUCAGAUCAAGGUGAAGCUUAUAUUUAAGAUGAAAUGGGUUACAUUAAAUUAUAUUUAUAGAUUAAUUUUUAAAAAAUUUUAUGAAAUUGGAUUUGAAAGUAAUUAGUUAUACUUUUUUCUAAUGAUAAAGCGCUAAAAUAUGCACAUAUUGCCCGUCGCUUUCACCUAAUUUGGAAUAAGUCGUAACAUAGUAGUUUUACUGGAAAGUGAGUCUAGAAUGAUUA
rnacentral:ncRNA from 1 species